rnacentral:rRNA from 1 species
AUUGAACGCUGGCGGCAGGCUUAACACAUGCAAGUCGAGCGGGGGAGGUUGCUUCGGUAACUGACCUAGCGGCGGACGGGUGAGUAAUGCUUAGGAAUCUGCCUAUUAGUGGGGGACAACGUUCCGAAAGGAACGCUAAUACCGCAUACGCCCUACGGGGGAAAGCAGGGGAUCUUCGGACCUUGCGCUAAUAGAUGAGCCUAAGUCGGAUUAGCUAGUUGGUGGGGUAAAGGCCUACCAAGGCGACGAUCUGUAGCGGGUCUGAGAGGAUGAACCGCCACACUGGGACUGAGACACGGCCCAGACUCCUACGGGAGGCAGCAGUGGGGAAUAUUGGACAAUGGGCGGAAGCCUGAUCCAGCCAUGCCGCGUGUGUGAAGAAGGCCUUUUGGUUGUAAAGCACUUUAAGCGAGGAGGAGGCUCCUUUAGUUAAUACCUAAAGAGAGUGGACGUUACUCGCAGAAUAAGCACCGGCUAACUCUGUGCCAGCCGCCGCAGUAA